UGGGGAAUAUUGCACAAUGGGCGAAAGCCUGAUGCAGCAACGCCGCGUGAGUGAUGAAGGCCUUCGGGUUGUAAAGCUCUGUCUUUUGGGACGAUAAUGACGGUACCAAAGGAGGAAGCCACGGCUAACUACGUGCCAGCAGCCGCGGUAAUACGUAGGUGGCAAGCGUUGUCCGGAUUUACUGGGCGUAAAGGAUGCGUAGGCGGAUUUUUAAGUGAGAUGUGAAAACCCUAAGCUUAACUUGGGGACUGCAUUUCAUACUGGAAAUCUAGAGUGCGGGAGAGGAGAAUGGAAUUCCUAGUGUAGCGGUGAAAUGCGUAGAGGUUAGGAAGAACACCAGUGGCGAAGGCGAUUCUCUGGACCGUAACUGACGCUGAGGCAUGAAAGCGUGGGUAGCAAACAGGAUUAGAUACCCUGGUAGUCCACGCCGUAAACGAUGAGUACUAGGUGUAGGAGGUAUCGACCCCUUCUGUGCCGCAGUUAACACAAUAAGUACUCCGCCUGGGAAGUACGAUCGCAAGAUUAAAACUCAAAGGAAUUGACGGGGUCAUAGCUGUUUUCCU
rnacentral:rRNA from 1 species